CACUUUAUACUGUGAACUGCGAAUGGCUCAUUAAAUCAGUUAUCGUUUAUUUGAUAGUACCUUACUACAUGGAUACCUGUGGUAAUUCUAGAGCUAAUACAUGCUGAAAACCUCGACUUCGGAAGGGGUGUAUUUAUUAAAUAAAAAACCAAUGCCCUUCGGGGCUCCUUGGUGAAUCAUAAUAACUUAACGAAUCGCAUGGCCUUGCGCCGGCGAUGGUUCAUUCAAAUUUCUGCCCUAUCAACUUUCGAUGGUAGGAUAGUGGCCUACCAUGGUGGCAACGGGUAACGGGGAAUUAGGGUUCGAUUCCGGAGAGGGAGCCUGAGAAACGGCUACCACAUCCAAGGGAGGCAGCAGGCGCGCAAAUUACCCAAUCCCGACACGGGGAGGUAGUGACAAUAAAUACUGAUACGGGGCUCUUUUGGGUCUCGUAAUUGGAAUGAGUACAAUCUAAAUCCCUUAACGAGGAACAAUUGGAGGGCAAGUCUGGUGCCAGCAGCCGCGGUAAUUCCAGCUCCAAUAGCGUAUAUUAAAGUUGUUGCAGUUAAAAAGCUCGUAGUUGAAUCUUGGGUGUGUCUGGCCGGUCCGCCUCACCGCGAGUACUGGUCCGGCUGGACCUUUCCUUCUGGGGAAUCUCAUGGCCUUCACUGGCUGUGGGGGGAACCAGGACUUUUACUGUGAAAAAAUUAGAGUGUUCAAAGCAGGCCUUUGCUCGAAUACAUUAGCAUGGAAUAAUAGAAUAGGACGUGCGGCUCUAUUUUGUUGGUUUCUAGGACCGCCGUAAUGAUUAAUAGGGAUAGUCGGGGGCGUCAGUAUUCAGCUGUCAGAGGUGAAAUUCUUGGAUUUGCUGAAGACUAACUACUGCGAAAGCAUUCGCCAAGGAUGUUUUCAUUAAUCAGGGAACGAAAGUUAGGGGAUCGAAGACGAUCAGAUACCGUCGUAGUCUUAACCAUAAACUAUGCCGACUAGGGAUCGGCCGGUGUUUCUAUUAUGACCCGUUCGGCACCUUACGAGAAAUCAAAG
rnacentral:rRNA from 1 species